rnacentral:rRNA from 1 species
GACGAACGCUGGCGGCGUGCUUAACACAUGCAAGUCGAACGGAGAGGCCCUGCUUUUGUGGGGUGCUCGAGUGGCGAACGGGUGAUUAACACGUGAGUAACCUGCCCUUGACUUUGGGAUAACUUCAGGAAACUGGGGCUAAUACCGGAUAGGAGCUCCUGCUGCAUGGUGGGGGUUGGAAAGUUUCGGCGGUUGGGGAUGGACUCGCGGCUUAUCAGCUUGUUGGUGGGGUAGUGGCUUACCAAGGCUUUGACGGGUAGCCGGCCUGAGAGGGUGACCGGCCACAGUGGGACUGAGAUACGGCCCAGACUCCUAAGGGAGGCAGCAGUGGGGAAUAUUGCACAAUGGGCGGAAGCCUGAUGCAGCAACGCCGCGUGAGGGAUGACGGCCUUCGGGUUGUAAACCGCUUUCGCCUGUGACGAAGCGUGAGUGACGGUAAUGGGUAAAGAAGCACCGGCUAACUACGUG